AGCUGUUGACCCUGAGUGGGAGAAUGUCUUAUCCAGGUGUAGUCUUGUGCACACCUUUCCAGACCCAUAGCAGUGGUUUGGUUGCAGAGCUGUGAUUAUAUGGACAUUCUCCACACUUGGUAUACAGCAGUUCAGACAUGCAGCCCCAUUGGAAUGUGCUGAUAGAGAUAUACUUUUAAUUAUUCGGCUUCAUUAUAUUAUGAUUGGAUUUGAUGAUUCAUGUAUGGCCCUUCUUGAAAAAGAUCCUGAUUUUUGGAUCGAAACGUCGAAACCUUUGAGGCUACAAUAAAAAAUUUCUAUUGAAGAAAUGUGUGGACUUUAUACACAG